rnacentral:lncRNA from 1 species
AAUGUUAUUUUGUGAUAAAUUACUCUCAGAGACCCUUUGAUAAACUAUAUUAUGCAAGGGUAAUUAUUUUAUAAUAAAAGAAAUGGUGUUCAACCUAUUACCAAUCGUUGGACUCCAGCUUCACCUUUAGACCUUAUUAGGCUAACUAAAAUGAGUUAAACUUAAGGAUGCAAUACUUUCCUUUUGAAAACAAACACACCGAUUCUCUAAUUUUGAAAUCAACACUGAUACCAAACCUAAGUCCUGUGUUCAAAGCCUGAUUUAUAUUGAGUAAGAAUUCGAAUCAAAUUAAUCUAGAAAUAUGAACAAACAAAGUUAAAAGCUACUAAUUAUGCAACUCACAUACUUAUACAAAUACAUCUAAUAGUCUAACAGUCCAUAAGCUAAGCAAUCCCAAUUAUACAGUAAUCCAUUAUCCACAUAAUGCCAAAUAAUUGCUAAUAUCAACUAUAUCUUUUCAACAACAUCAAAAUCAAUCUCAAUGAGCUCAAAUCUUAUGAAACUUUUCUAUUUCCACUCUCAUUCACAAGUACAUCAAAGUGAGUUCAGAAUGGGUACCUGAAGAAUGAAUCAACAGAAAAGGAAGAGAUCAGCAGCAGUAACAAUUUCCAGCAUUAGUUCAUGAGCAAGAUUAAACCCAUCAACGAUCUAUAAAUGAGUAUAAUAGCCCAGAAUGUGUUCAACUGUUCAGGAUAAAUUGAAAACUAGGCAGAAUCCAACAGGUCACACCAAAAUUGCACCAAAUAGAGAAAAAUGAACCCAACACUAACUCGACCAAUAAUUCAAAACCAAACUAGUCCCAAAAUUGACUUGUAUGGACUCCAAAUCCACUCGAAAUCAAGCCAUGGAUAAAUCUGAACCUCGACUACCAAUAUUUGAGCUAGAUAUGCGAAUCACUUUGACUGAAAUCAUAAAUUAACUAGAAAAAACCUGGAUGGAGCAGUACUUUUUUUUUGAAUUUUUUACUAUGUUCUUUUUGGAUGAUUCUCAAUUCCUUUUUUUGAAACUUCAGUAGGCUCCCCCUUCUUCGACGCUAAGCGCGCUGCAUCUCCUGUCCAACCAAGUGAAGAAUGUUUUCGAGUAGAAUCUAAAAUUUAAAGAGAAUUUUGAACUUCCAUUUGAUUCGAAACUCAAAUUCUAGCUGGAUUUCCAUAGAGGAAUUUUUUUUGAUGGAGAUUUUUAGGUUGCCCAACUUGUUGAUUAAGGCACUAAAAUGUGCCUUAUAAAGGCAAAAAUAAGGGGCAACCCUCAGAUUUUUAGAUUUGCAUUACACCCUUUCCUAAUUUUCAUUUUCUCUUAAGUAUCCCUAGCAAAGUUGCUUGUUUCCCAAGUAUACCUCUAAACGUUAUAGAAUUCUAAAGUGAACCCCAUCUAGAAUGUCCUAGAGGACUCCAUUCAGAUUUUAAAAGAUUUCAUACCCUUGUAAUACCCCUUUUGUUCAACUAAAAUUACUAACUAUGACCAAAGUUUCCUAAAAUUCUGAUUUACCAAUUAUAGAAGAACAAUCAUAACACUUCAUCAAACGACCAUCACAAAUUCAAUAUGAAAUCAGGUUGUGUCAUCUUAAUCAAGUAAAACACAAUUAAACUAAUUAGAGAAAUAUUCUUGACAACUAAACCAAAAUGAAACAAUUCACUAACUCGAACGAGAAUUGAACCUAACAACAUCAAUCCUCUUAGAGAAGCAGAAUGCCCAAAAUUAAACUAAACUAAACGCUAAACAAGAAAACUAAUGACGAACUAACAAUUAACAGGUCUCGGGCAACAAUCCAAAUAGUAAAAUUUUUAGCUAUUAACUCAAAAUAGAUAACAUUGAAUCCAAUACAUUAAUGACACACAGAACACAUGGGGAAGAAAACAAUAUGAAUUAACAGAGAAAAACCAAAAGAAAAAAACUUUAAGAGACUCACUGGCGACUUUCUGGGUUCAACUUCACUGCCUUCCAUGAAGUUUGAGGCUGACGACAUCGAAUUCAUUGCGAGGGAAGCAAAUGGACUCUGGUACAUUCGCUUGAAAUCAAUGGGACGAAUUAGGGGGUUUUUGACCGAUUUGGAUUCGAAAUUCAAGGGGCUUGGUCAUGUUUUGAAGGAGUUUAGUUUUAGAUUGGUGAGGAGGAGAUGGAGGAGGUUCAGUGGUGUGAGUUUGGACUAGUUUGGGCGGCAUCACCGCCGUGGACGGCGGAGACGGUGGCAACUCUUUCAAUUAAUCGAUGCCCUCCAGUGUACUUUGAAACACGGCAGUGGCAGAUUCAUGACUGGGGUGUUGAGGCGAUUUCAGGGUGUAACUUUGAGAGCCACCAGAGAUGGUGACGUUUUCUCCGAUGGCGGCGGGUGGCGGAGACGCUAAGGAGGAUACGAGGAAGAUAACCAAUGUUUUUUAUGUUUAAUGAAC